CUACGGAGGAUGCGAGCGUUAUCCGGAUUUAUUGGGUUUAAAGGGUGCGUAGGCUGUGCGUUAAGUCAGGGGUGAAAUGCCGUCGCUCAACGACGGAGCUGCCCUUGAUACUGGCGUGCUGGAGUACGGAUGCCGUUGGAGGAAUGAGUGGUGUAGCGGUGAAAUGCUUAGAUAUCACUCAGAACACCGAUUGCGAAGGCAUCUGACGAAUCCGUCACUGACGCUGAGGCACGAAAGCGUGGGGAUAGAACAGGAUUAGAUACCCUGGUAUUCCACGCCGUAAACGAUGAUGACUAACCGUCGGCGAUAGACAGCCGGUGGCCAAGCGAAAGCGAUAAGUCAUCCACCUGGGGAGUACGUCGGCAACGAUGAAACUUAAAGGAAUUGACGGGG
rnacentral:rRNA from 1 species